ACUCCUACGGGAGGCAGCAGUGGGGAAUUUUCCGCAAUGGGCGCAAGCCUGACGGAGCAAGACCGCGUGAGGGAGGAAGGCUCUUGGGUUGUAAACCUCUUUUAUCAGGGAAGAAGAUCUGACGGUACCUGAUGAAUCAGCAUCGGCUAACUCCGUGCCAGCAGCCGCGGUAAUACGGAGGAUGCAAGCGUUAUCCGGAUUUAUUGGGCGUAAAGCGUCCGCAGGUGGUUUUUCAAGUCUGCUGUUAAAGCGCAGAGCUUAACUCUGUAACGGCGGUGGAAACUGAGAGACUAGAGUAUGGUAGGGGUUGCGGGAAUUCCCAGUGUAGCGGUGAAAUGCGUAGAUAUUGGGAAGAACACCAGCGGCGAAAGCGCGCAACUGGGCCAUUACUGACACUCAUGGACGAAAGCUAGGGGAGCGAAAGGGAUUAGAUACCCCUGUAGUCCUAGCUGUAAACGAUGGGUACUAGGUGUUGACCGUAUCGACCCGGUCAGUGCCGUAGCUAACGCGUUAAGUACCCCGCCUGGGGAGUAUGCACGCAAGUGUGAAACUC
rnacentral:rRNA from 1 species